rnacentral:lncRNA from 1 species
ACUAAUGUGCCUUAGAGAAAUACUCACCGAUAUAUUGUUACUCAAUCAUUCCUUGUGAAUGCAGGUACACAGGAAUGAGGGGAGGAAGGCCCCCACUAAACCUAGCGGCCCCAGAUAAUUCAAUUCGGGAGGAUUUAGAUAGACUAUUCAAGAUGGUGGAGGCUCUCGCAGCUGCCCAGCGAAGGCAAGAGGAGAGAAGGGAGUUACCGGGACCUCCUCCGCUAGCGCAGGUUGAGCC